GGCUACAUAGUGUAGUAGUUAGCACGUCUGUUUUACACACAGAACGUCCUGGGUUCAUGCCCCAGGUGGAGCCA
rnacentral:tRNA from 1 species